rnacentral:snoRNA from 1 species
AUACCAUAAUGAGGACAUCUCCUGAGUAACUCCUUGAAUCUUUCCCAUGAAUCAUACAAUCUUUCAUCUUUGAGUUGAUGAAAAGAUGUAAUUUCAUUCCUCAACUU